GCCGGGGUAGCUCAGCCGGUAGAGCAACUGCCUUGUAAGCGGUAGGUCGCGGGUUCAAAUCCUCGCCCCUGGCACCA
rnacentral:tRNA from 1 species